rnacentral:misc_RNA from 1 species
AAAGUCGUAACAAGGUAACCGUAGGUGAACCUGCGGUUGGAUCAUUACAAAAUUGGUUUCAUACCAAACAUUGUGUGCACUAUAUCUGUCUCUGGUGGUUCUCGUGCAUUGAACCCAAUGCCUGCCAUAAGUCGUUUGAAUAUCUUCGGAUUUUCAAGCACCCAAUGGCUGAAUCACCAAACACAUGAGUCGUUUGAAUAUCUUCGGAUUUUCAAACACCCAUGCAAAAACUUUGUAUUAAUUUUAUGUCUGAAUCAUUCACCAAGUGAAUUGAAAAACAACUUUUGACAACGGAUCUCUUGGCUCUC